rnacentral:tRNA from 1 species
GCUGGUAUCGCAUAGUGGCAAUUGCAAUACACUUGUAAUGUAUCGGGAAACCUUCGUCAGUUCGAGUCUGACUACCAGCA